rnacentral:rRNA from 1 species
AGAGCGAACGCUGGCGGCAGGCUUAACACAUGCAAGUCGAACGGACCCUUCGGGGUUAGUGGCGGACGGGUGAGUAACACGUGGGAAUGUGCCCUUAGGUUCGGAACAACACAGGGAAACUUGUGCUAAUACCGGAUGUGCCCUUCGGGGGAAAGAUUUAUUGCCUUUGGAGCAGCCCGCGUCUGAUUAGCUUGUUGGUGAGGUAAAGGCUCACCAAGGCGACGAUCAGUAGCUGGU